ACAGAACGUUAAAAGUCUUGCUUAAGGUUACAUGCUUCUUUGCAGCCAUCUAGUCUAUGGCAUUACCUUUAAACUACCACAUGGUGUCAUUAUAAGCAUGUUGAUGAUGUUUCCUCAAUACUAAAUAUUCACAUGCAGGCUUGAUCAAAAGUGAUGUGUAACUUACAUAUUUUUAAUUUUGUAUGCUCAGAGAUUUCUCUUCCAUGUCAGAGUUCAGAUUGCAGAGAUUCUGUGUCAAGUAAUGCCACAUUCAAUGACAUGAGUAAAAUAUAACACAAAUACACUUAUUUUAGUCCUAGGUAAGCAACAGAAUCAUACAGCACCAAAACUGAGCUAUCUGAAACCCGCAACUCAUAUUGCUAAGACUUUACAAUAACAUUUCAAUAUUAUUUCGCAGAUACAAAUGCAGAACAUUGGGAGGUGGGAUAAUGGUGGCGAAAGCUUAAAUUCUCAAGAGUUGUGUGCCGGACAUCUAAAGUUACACUUGAAUUACACUGCACAGCUGUGACUGCAGACAUUUAGUAGGCACACAGCCUUACACGUGUUCCUUUCUGCCCACUUGGUACUGUUCUAUGUUUUAUGGACCUGGGAGCGGUGGCAGCACUGAUUCUGGUGACUCUACCUUGUUCAACUGCUGCAUACCUCUCCAGCUCCUAUCUAGUAGCUCAACUUGAAUACAAUGGGACAAUGGCUCAGGAAACACACAGACCUCAACUCCUCGAGGGCUAUAUUUAGGAAUCCAAAUAAUCAGAACCAUUUCAUGUACGUAUUGGGCAUGUGUGUCCAGGGCCCCUGCAGUCGCUCCCAAUACCCUCUGAACUAUAAGGCCAUUGGAAGGAGAGCAAUGUUGUCGAGCUAGUUGCUAGGUGCUGGUUGCUAGGUUACAUGCUGCUAGACUUCAGCUUUCUGCAUUCGUCCGUCAAGUUCCCAACUUCAGUUCCUUAAAUAAAUGAAUGGUUCGUUCUUUUUGGACAUCUAGUUCUGCUUGCUACCAUCAGCCAGCAAGCAGUGCCUCGUUGUUUGGGACAGGGAAACCUUUCAUCAGUAAAUCCACCUCUGUAUCUUCAGAGAAGAUGGGUCGUCUCCCCCUGGGGAUUGUUUCUCCCUAUGUAAAAACUAGCUCUGGUGGGUGUAUGGACCCCAUGAAAUUCUACUGUACCAGCUAUGGCACAGCUUAUGGUCAAGCAGGGUUUCGUCCUCGGACUAGCAUCCACUCUGGAGCAGGAUAUAAAACCAAUUACCGUCCCGUUGUCCACUACAAGCCAAGCCUAGACAAAAUAGAUAAUCCAACUGUGGGGAAGCUCCUUCAGGACAAUUAUGAAUCGACAACAACCAAGCACUUCCAGCCUCUUGAGCUCCCAGAUGGGAAAUAUCCUCUUCCCUGGAGUGUGUACCAGCCAGGGAGUGGGUAUGUUCGAGAAAAACCUCUUUCUUUCCCCACCACUAAAGAGGUCAAGAAAGUCCAUUUUGACACAGCAGACCAGGGAGCCCAAGCUAUAUCAGGGUUGGAGCCUAAACAUACCCCCGACCUGCACAAGUUGUAUGGAAGAGGUUCUGUCGAUGUGGAACAUGCCAGACAUGGACCUCACUACAUGUCCACAGAGUACAACUCAAAGUACCGCUUCAACAUUCCAGGACAACCAGAUUUCCUGCAGAAGAAAACAAUUGGAGCCAAAGAAGAGACUGGUUUUACUGAAGGCUGCCUGGCAAACCCCAUUAUGGACAAAUCUCAGAGCAGCGCUCCAGGAGUCAGCAUUACCAAGACAGAUUAUCUGCCAUCUUCCUUUCCACAUGGUGAUGAGUUCCUACCAGUCCUGUCAAAGGGUUCUGAGAGGGGAUCUGGAUUCAGUCGGCAGAAUCUUGGCCGUACCCCAACGGUUCCACCAGAUGUAGAGGCACCAGGUCCCCUGAGCCACUCUCAGUUCCAAGGGCUUCAGCAUCAACCUCAGACACAGAACAAUCUUCUAGGUCGGGAACAAGUGGGUCACAAGGAACCAUCAGGAUUCAGCCUCAAUAACCUUAAAUAUGUGACACCUGCACAUGAUCCAGAUCUGCCCAACCGAUUCCUGACUAGCUAUAACUCCAAGUUUUAUGAAAACAUUCCAAAGGGAGUGGAUAGGGAAGGCUGGACACGAGGAGGGAUCCAGCCACAGCAGCCUGGUGGUUUUGCUACUAACAACCAUGCCACUGACUUAGGCACUGACCCCAAUGCCACAGAGACCUUGAGGACAAUCCAUCCUCAUGUUGGCAGGACAAUUACAACAGUUGAUCCAUUCUAUCGUGAUUCUCCCCAUGACCGCCGCUUUGCUGCUCUCCAUCAGACGACUGUGCCCAACUAACCUCUGUUCCAAACUGGACCCCACACUGACAUCUUUGGGCCUCAGAACAAUAUCCCGCAUGCUAAGAAAGGAGCAACAGUGAUAGCACUGUCACAUCAUUCAUAUUUUACUGUUAAAGGUGCAAUGCACACCAUUUCUGCUCUGGUUCUCAGUUUUCUGCCCAGUAUUAAUAGGAGUCACAGUGUACUGCUUUCCUUUUUCCAUUUCUCACAUUUCUCUCUGUGGAUGAGUUUUCACUCCUAGUCAAUGUUUCAUGAGCUGGUGGCACAGGCUGCUCCAACAAUGAAAAGAAAUACUUCUCUCAAAUGUACCACACACGUUGCAGCUUUAAGCUCAGCGUAAUGAUAUCUGGCAUCAGAUCAGUUUCUCAUUGUGCCUUGGAAUGUGACAGCAUGUCUGAUCUCUUCUUCAAACUAGGAGGAAACUGAGAUGGUUCUGCCACAUACACACCUCAGCAUGUUGUUGUCCUAGGACCUAGGUAGAACUCUCCUUGAACUUAGUUGGUGCAUGGAAUGCAUUUGUUGCUUGAUAAUGAAAGAGUUUAAUGCAAGCCAAGAUGAUUCAAAAAUGGGGCAAAAGGAAUAAUGGCUGAUUUUUGCAUGUGUGUAUAUAGAGUUAAACAGCUAGCAUGAUUAUAGCUUUUAGGACAGCUUUUGGGAUGGGAAAAGAAAGCAGUAAAAAAGCAAUUUAAUUUAAAUCCUUAGUUCAUUAAGGGUACUAUCGGGUUCUCUCUGUGGCCUCAUGGUGUGACUGUAAUAUUGCAAGCAAAGGUUUUCAUUAGCCUGAUGCCUCUGAGUGCCAAUAAAAUGUUUCCUUACUUUUAA